CCAGGAGCCUUCAUGGCAGGCCCUCUGAAGACUGCAAAGAUAGUCAAGAACCCGUUUUCUACUUCUGCAGAAUGCCCUGGAAAGCAUUCUGGAUCAGUCGCAGUCACCAGAAUAAAGCCAACCAAAAGAGUGCCUGAAUUCUCCGUCUCCUUCCUGGAGUUUUCUCUCCGGCUUGAUUCUCAAGGUGACAGGAACCCAAUAUCGUGAUCCACAGGGAUCUCCUUUCAGAGAUAUCGCCAUGUCAGUGAAUUUCUGUCCUUGUUUCAGAUUUCCUUCCUCCUCCUCUCCUUUCCACAAGAACUCCAAUGCCUGCAAACUUUGGCAAUACAUGCCAGGCCAAAGCCAACCACUGUCCCUGACUUGCCUGCCUUCACUCACAGGCGCCAUCCCUGUUUGCUCUCUCAGAGCCUCACUUGGCCUUUCAGCAGAAAUGCCCACAUCGGAAAGGUGGAGGAACAGGAAGGGAAGGUGCAACCUGCCAGGCGUACCCCAAAUUGCUGCCUCCAACCCCCCUGGGAAACGGGAACGGGAUGCGGCAUUGUGAUUGGUGGGGUCCCUGCAUGGGAAGUGAGGGUGGCUGCCUGGGGGGCCCAUGGGGGCCUCCACGUUUUCUCCUUGCGCUGGCCCCUUGCAUUCCCACGAUGCAACAUCCAAACCUGCAUUGUCGUUCCCAGGAUGCAGUCGGGAAAUGGAAGAGCAACUGCAUUGUGGUUAAACCAAGAACGAAGCAACAGGAGAGGCUGAAUAUGGUAGACAGAAGACCAGAUUUCCCACUUUAUAUUAGUACACACAAUUGUUUAUGUAAGUGCACAUCCUCAGGUUCCCUUGAUUUUGGGGAUGCAUCUCCCCUCCUUGUCUGCCACCCCUUCCUGCUCCCUUGCACGCACCCCAAACCUUCCAGGGGUUUUUGCUUGCUGAGAUGCAGACUCAUGUCAGAGGAUUAUCUCCCUGUAGCUUGUGCCUGUUACUCUUCCGGCUGGAAAAAGAGAAACCUGAUACACCCGUCCCUCCAUUCAUUCAUGCCUUCAUCCAAAGGGAAAACAGUAAGCGUGUAAUGAUGGAAAGAAUUAGUCUGCUGGGUCUUAUCGUCCCAGAGUCAAGCAUCCCUUGCUUUGCAAUCACGCCUUAUUCAUGUCUUCGCUUUUUGGAAGCACCUACAUUUGUGAGCAACUAUUUUCAAGAAUGAAGCACACCGAGAGUAACAUUAGAACCAGAAUAUUGGAUGAGCACCUCGCGAACUCACUGAGAAUUGCCACUGCUUCCAUCAAACCAGAAAAUGAUCCAUUAGUUUCUCAAAUACAAUGUCAAAUAUCCCACUGGUUUUAUGUUGCAUUUUUCAUUUACUUUUAUAAUACAUAUUUAAAAAUGA